GUGGCAGAGGUGUAGGGGCUAUGGAGGGGAAGUGUGGCAGAGGUGUAGGGGCUAUGGAGGGGAAGUGUGGCAGAGGUGUAGGGGCUUUGGAGGGGAAGUGUGGCAGAGGUGUAGGGGCUAUGGAGGGGAAGUGUGGCAGAAAGGUAGAUAGAGGCUUUGGAGGGGAAGUGUGGCAGAGGUGUAGGGGCUUUAGAGGGGAAAUGUGGCAGAGGUGUAGGGGCUUUGGAGGGGAAAUGUGGCAGAGGUGUAGGGGCUUUGGAGGGGAAGUGUGGCAAAGGUGUAGGGGCUAUGGAGGGGAAGUGUGGCAGAGGUGUAGGGGCUAUGGAGGGGAAGUGUGGCAGAAAGGUAGAUAUAGGCUAUGGAGGGGAAGUGUGGCAGAGGUGUAGGGGCUUUGGAGGGGAAGUGUGGCAGAGGUGUAGGGGCUAUGGAGGGGAAGUGUGGCAGAAAGGUAGAUAGAGGCUAUGGAGGGGAAGUGUGGCAGAGGUGUAGGGGCUUUGGAGGGGAAGUGUGGCAGAGGUGUAAGGGCUAUGGAGGGGAAGUGUAGCAGAGGUGUAGGGGCUAUGGAGGGGAAGUGUGGCAGAGGUGUAGGGGCUAUGGAGGGGAAGUGUGGCAGAGGUGUAGGGGCUUUGGAGGGGAAGUGUGACAGAGGUGUAGGGGCUAUGGAAGGGAAGUGUGGCAGAAAGGUAGAUAUAGGCUAUGGAGGGGAAGUGUGGCAGAGGUGUAGGGGCUUUGGAGGGGAAGUGUGGCAGAGGUGUAGGGGCUUUGGAGGGGAAGUGUGGCAGAGGUGUAGGGGCUUUGGAGGGGAAGUGUGGCAGAGGUGUAGGGGCUAUGGAGGGGAAGUGUAGCAGAGGUGUAGGGGCUUUGGAGGGGAAGUGUGGCAGAGGUGUAGGGGCUUUGGAGGGAAAGGUGUGGCAGAAGUGUAGGGGCUAUGGAGGGGAAGUGUGGUAGAGGGGUAGACGCUAUGGAGGGAAGGUGUGACAUAGAGGUAGAGGCUGUGGGGAGGAUGAGUGACAUAGAGGUAGAGGCUAUGGGGAGGAUGAGUGACAUAGAGGUAAAGGUUAUGGGGAGGAUGAGUGACAUAGAGGUAGAGGCUAUGGGGAGGAUGAGUGACAUAGAGGUAGAGGCUAUGGGGAGGAUGAGUGACCCUAGAGGUAGAGGCUAUGGGGAGGAUGAGUGACAUAGAGGUAGAGGCUAUGGGGAGGAUGAGUGACAUAGAGGUAGAGGCUAUGGGGAGGAUGAGUGACCCUAGAGGUAGAGGCUAUGGGGAGGAUGAGUGACAUAGAGGUAAAGGUUAUGGAGAGGAUGAGUGACAUAGAGGUAGAGGCUAUGGGGAGGAUGAGUGACAUAGAGGUAGAGGCUAUGGGGAGGAUGAGUGACCCUAGAGGUAGAGGCUAUGGGGAGGAUGAGUGACAUAGAGGUAGAGGCUAUGGGGAUGAUGAGUGACAUAGAGGUAGAGGUUAUCGAGAGGAUGAGUGACAUAGAGGUAGAG